rnacentral:rRNA from 1 species
AGAGUUUGAUCAUGGCUCAGGAUGAACGCUGGCGGCGUGCUUAACACAUGCAAGUCGAACGAUGAUCUCCAGCUUGCUGGGGGGAUUAGUGGCGAACGGGUGAGUAACACGUGAGUAACCUGCCCUUGACUCUGGGAUAAGCCUGGGAAACUGGGUCUAAUACUGGAUACGACCUUCCCACGCAUGUGGUGUUGGUGGAAAGCUUUUGUGGUUUUGGAUGGACUCGCGGCCUAUCAGCUUGUUGGUGGGGUAAUGGCCUACCAAGGCGACGACGGGUAGCCGGCCUGAGAGGGUGGACGGCCACACUGGGACUGAGACACGGCCCAGACUCCUACGGGAGGCAGCAGUGGGGAAUAUUGCACAAUGGGCGCAAGCCUGAUGCAGCGACGCCGCGUGAGGGAUGAAGGCCUUCGGGUUGUAAACCUCUUUCAGUAGGGAAGAAGCGAAAGUGACGGUACCUGCAGAAGAAGCGCCGGCUAACUACGUGCCAGCAGCCGCGGUAAUACGUAGGGCGCAAGCGUUAUCCGGAAUUAUUGGGCGUAAAGAGCUCGUAGGCGGUUUGUCGCGUCUGCCGUGAAAGUCCGGGGCUUAACUCCGGAUCUGCGGUGGGUACGGGCAGACUUGAGUGAUGUAGGGGAGACUGGAAUUCCUGGUGUAGCGGUGAAAUGCGCAGAUAUCAGGAGGAACACCGAUGGCGAAGGCAGGUCUCUGGGCAUUAACUGACGCUGAGGAGCGAAAGCAUGGGGAGCGAACAGGAUUAGAUACCCUGGUAGUCCAUGCCGUAAACGUUGGGCACUAGGUGUGGGGGGACAUUCCACGUUUUCCGCGCCGUAGCUAACGCAUUAAGUGCCCCGCCUGGGAGUACGGCCGCAAGGCUAAAACUCAAAUGAAUUGACGG